rnacentral:rRNA from 1 species
UACGUAGGGUGCAAGCGUUGUCCGGAAUUAUUGGGCGAAAGAGCUCGUAGGCGGUCUGUCGCGUCGGAUGUGAAAACUCGGGGCUCAACCCCGGGCCUGCAUUCGAUACGGGCAGACUAGAGUUCGGCAGGGGAGACUGGAAUUCCUGGUGUAGCGGUGAAAUGCGCAGAUAUCAGGAGGAACACCGGUGGCGAAGGCGGUUCUCUGGGCAUGUCCUGACGCUGAGGAGCGAAAGUGUGGGGAGCGAACAGG